AUUGAACGCUAGCGGGAUGCUUUACACAUGCAAGUCGAACGGCAGCGCGGACUUCGGUCUGGCGGCGAGUGGCGAACGGGUGAGUAAUGUAUCGGAACGUGCCCAGUAGCGGGGGAUAACUACGCGAAAACGUAGCUAAUACCGCAUACGCCCUACGGGGGAAAGCAGGGGAUCGUAAGACCUUGCACUAUUGGAGCGGCCGAUAUCGGAUUAGCUAGUUGGUGAGGUAACGGCUCACCAAGGCGACGAUCCGUAGCUGGUUUGAGAGGACGACCAGCCACACUGGGACUGAGACACGGCCCAGACUCCUACGGGAGGCAGCAGUGGGGAAUUUUGGACAAUGGGGGCAACCCUGAUCCAGCCAUCCCGCGUGUGCGAUGAAGGCCUUCGGGUUGUAAAGCACUUUUGGCAGGAAAGAAACGUCGCGGGCUAAUACCCCGUGGAACUGACGGUACCUGCAGAAUAAGCACCGGCUAACUACGUG
rnacentral:rRNA from 1 species